rnacentral:rRNA from 1 species
GAAUUUUGCGCAAUGGGGGAAACCCUGACGCAGCAACGCCAUGUGUGGGAUGAAGCAUUUCGGUGUGUAAACCACUGUCAGCGGGGAAUAAAUGGUCUCUUCGGAGGCAGUUGAAUGUACCCGCAAAGGAAGCCCCGGCUAACUUCGUGCCAGCAGCCGCGGUAAUACGAGGGGGGCAAAUGUUGCUCGGAAUUACUGGGCGUAAAGGGAGCGUAGGCGGGCUCUUAAGUUAGGUGUUUAAUCCCGGGGCCCAACCCCGGACAGGCACCUAAAACUGGGAGUCUUGAAUAGUGGAGAGGUCGGUGGAAUUGGGGGUGUAGCGGUGGAAUGCGUAGAGAUCCCCAAGAACACUAGUUGCGAAGGCGGCCGACUGGACACAUAUUGACGCUGAGGCUCGAAAGCAUGGGGAGCAAACAGG